GGAUAACCUGCCCUUAGGUCUGGCAUAACCCCGGGAAACUGGGGAUAAUUCCGGAUAGAUCAUCGAUGCUGGAAAGCCCCGAGAUCGAAAGCUCCGGCGCCAGAGGAUGGGUCUGCGGCCUAUCAGGUAGUAGUGGGUGUAGCGUACCUACUAGCCUACGACGGGUACGGGUUGUGAGAGCAAGAGCCCGGAGAUGGAUUCUGAGACACGAAUCCAGGCCCUACGGGGUGCAGCAGGCGCGAAAACUUUACAAUGCCGGCAACGGCGAUAAGGGGACCUCGAGUGCCAGGUUACAAAUCUGGCUGUCGUGAUGCCUAAAAAGCAUUGCAUAGCAAGGGCCGGGCAAGACCGGUGCCAGCCGCCGCGGUAACACCGGCGGCUCGAGUGGUAACCGUUAUUAUUGGGUCUAAAGGGUCUGUAGCCGGCCGGAUAAGUCUCUUGAGAAAUCCAGCAGCUCAACUGUUGGGCUUUCAGGAGAUACUGUCUGGCUCGAGGCCGGGAGAGGUGAGAGGUACUUCAGGGGUAGGGGUGAAAUCUUGUAAUCCUUGAAGGACCACCAGUGGCGAAGGCGUCUCACCAGAACGGACCUGACGGCAAGGGACGAAAGCUAGGGGCACGAACCGGAUUAGAUACCCGGGUAGUCCUAGCCGUAAACGAUACUCGCUAGGUGUCGGCCACGGUGCGACCGUUGUCGGUGCCGUAGGGAAGCCGUGAAGCGAGCCACCUGGGAAGUACGGUCGCAAGGCUGAAACUUAA
rnacentral:rRNA from 1 species